rnacentral:rRNA from 1 species
GAUGAACGCUAGCUACAGGCUUAACACAUGCAAGUCGAGGGGCAGCGGGAUUGAAGCUUGCUUCAAUUGCCGGCGACCGGCGCACGGGUGAGUAACGCGUAUCCAACCUUCCGUACACUCAGGGAUAGCCUUUCGAAGGAAAGAUUAAUACCUGAUGGUAUGAUGAGAUCGCAUGGUAUCAUCAUUAAAGAUUUAUCGGUGUACGAUGGGGAUGCGUUCCAUUAGGUAGUAGGCGGGGUAACGGCCCACCUAGCCGACGAUGGAUAGGGGUUCUGAGAGGAAGGUCCCCCANAUUGGAACUGAGACACGGUCCAAACUCCUACGGGAGGCAGCAGUGAGGAAUAUUGGUCAAUGGGCAGAGCCUGAACCAGCCAAGUAGCGUGAAGG